GAUGAACGCUGGCGGCGUGCUUAACACAUGCAAGUCGAACGGAAACAGGAUGAAGCCUAGCGAUUCCUGUUUUAGUGGCGGACGGGUGAGUAACGCGUGGGUAACCUGCCUUACACUGGGGGAUAACAGUUAGAAAUAGCUGCUAAUACCGCAUAAGCGCACAGGGCCGCAUGGCCUGGUGUGAAAAACUCCGGUGGUGGAAGAUGGACCCGCGUCUGAUUAGCUAGUUGGUGAGGUAGCGGCCCACCAAGGCGACGAUCAGUAGCCGGCCUGAGAGGGUGAACGGCCACAUUGGGACUGAGACACGGCCCAAACUCCUACGGGAGGCAGCAGUGGGGAAUAUUGCACAAUGGGGGAAACCCUGAUGCAGCGACGCCGCGUGAGUGAAGAAGUAUUUCGGUAUGUAAAGCUCUAUCAGCAAGGAAGAAAAUGACGGUACUUGACUAAGAAGCCCCGGCUAACUACGUGCCAGCCGCCGCCGUAA
rnacentral:rRNA from 1 species